UCCUGCCCUUCAUCUUCGUGUUUUCCUCGCUUCCUUUAUUUCGCCGUAUUCUGUUGUCUUUCAAACAUGAAGGACGUCCGGAACGUCGGACAGACACCUGCGAGACGUCCUCAUCAUCCUUACGUUUUCUUUCUAGCAAUUUACAUGUCAAAUUCUUCCUUUUCUCUCGCGAUACAGGCGGGAAAUUUUUGACAGCUGGACGCGAUUUCAUGGAAUUUUCCUUCCUUUUUGUUCGAUCGAGAUCUCUCGCCGGUCGAUCAUCUUUAAGCAUUAACGACGAGAGAGAGGGAGAAGGAAGAGAUACGUUCUCCCGCGGAGAACGCACCGAAUCGUCGGAACUGCGUCGCAUACGGCAGGGGUUGGGGGAGGGAGGGGGGAGGAAGUAUCGAUUCUCGAGCCCGCAUUCCCGCGGCGCGCGCGAAUCGUCCGAACGCUCUUAAUUUUCGUUCCGCGAUUGAUCGAAGUCGAUGUCGAGACGCAGCAAAUAUAUACAUAUAUAUUGUCUUUCUCUUAGUAGAUUUUAUCGUCACGUCAGAGUAAUUAUUUCGAAAAUUUUUGCAUAAUUUUUCGCACAUUCAUAGUUUUGAUAUUAAUCGUUAUCAAUGUGAUGUGUUGUUUAAUAAUAAUAUUAUGAAUAAUACUAAUUGAAAGUAUCUUGUGUAAUUCUGAUGUAGUAUAUAAGGAUUGUUGGUUCUUUAUAUAUGCAUUUUUUUUUUGCAUUUAUUAUAUAAAAUAGGAAUAUAAAGAGAAAGCUGAGUCCGCGUUAUAAAUAUUAGAGACAAAAAAGAAAAAUACGGCCAAAGCGCGAUCAUCUUCAAUAAACCAUUCAAUACAUAACCGCAAUAAUAAUUAUCAGGGCCAGAGAUACACGAGGAUGAAAUGUCAAGCUUAGGAGGAAAUAUGUAGGAAGAGAAGAAAUAAAAAAACAGGAGACACAAUAGGAAAAUAGAUGGGAACAGGAGCUCGAACGAGCAGAUUUAUUUAUACGAUGCCGAAAUAUUUUGGAGAUACAGAAACGGACGCUGUAUUUAAUUCUAAGUAUAGCGAGUACUCGGAGCGUCCGACACCAAUUGCGUAUUCCGGUCGUUGCUACCGGUCGAAAGUACAUAGCGGAAAGUUCGGUAUCGUCAGCUUGGUCAGCAAAUGGUUACACUUGAGCGUAAAGAGAGAGCGAGAGGGAGGAGACGGUGUCCGCCCUUCGUACAAAAGAGAGAAAGAGAACACUUCUCGAUCGAACGUGGCAAAAUCAUCAUCGCGUUACUCUUCGUUCAACGAUUUUGCCCCUAUUCGAUUUUUCGCCGCGAUUUCAUCUGCGAUUCUCCAAAAUGUCAGUUUUUAUCUCGAUAGUUUAUUCGUGCUCUUUAUUAGCCAAAUAAUUGUCUAUACUUUUCUCUUUUAUCGCGAGCGAGUAUAUUUUUGUCAUUUUUCAAUUAUAUAAGAAAAAUUAGUGUAAAUACGAAGAGAAGAUCUACUAAAGACUAUUUGCGAUCUAUAUAUUUUUCGCAAUUUUUCUAUCUA